rnacentral:piRNA from 1 species
UACAAGUCAUGUGUAAACCUUCUGAAGUAGC